rnacentral:tRNA from 1 species
GCCUCCGUAGUUUAGUGGUUAGAACUCUCGACUUUCAAUCGGGCAACGCGGUUUCGAUUACCGCCGGAGGCACCA